AUACGUAGGGGGCGAGCGUUGUCCGGAAUGAUUGGGCGUAAAGGGCGCGUAGGCGGCCCGGUAAGUCUGGAGUGAAAGUCCUGCUUUUAAGGUGGGAAUUGCUUUGGAUACUGUCGGGCUUGAGUGCAGGAGAGGUAAGUGGAAUUCCCAGUGUAGCGGUGAAAUGCGUAGAGAUUGGGAGGAACACCAGUGGCGAAGGCGACUUACUGGACUGUAACUGACGCUGAGGCGCGAAAGUGUGGGGAGCAAACAGGAUUAGAUACCCUGGUAGUCCACACUGUAAACGAUGAAUGCUAGGUGUAGGGGGUAUCGGCCCCUUCUGUGCCGCAGUUAACACAAUAAGCAUUCCGCCUGGGGAGUACGGCCGCAAGGUUGAAACUCAAAUGAAUUGGCGGGG
rnacentral:rRNA from 1 species